rnacentral:rRNA from 1 species
AUUGAACGCUGGCGGCAGGCCUAACACAUGCAAGUCGAGCGAGCGGCGGACGGGUGAGUACUGUAUGGGGCUCUGCCCGAUAGAGGGGGAUAACUACUGGCACCGGUGGCUCAUACCGCAUACUAUCGGAUGACCCCAUAUGGGAUUAGCUAGUAGGUUGGGUAAAGGCGCACCUAGGCGACGAUCUCUAGCUGGUCUGAGAGGAUGAGCAGCCACACUGGGACUGAGACACGGCCCAGACUCCUACGGAAGGCAGCAGUGGGGAAUAUUGCACAAUUGGCGCAAGCCGGAGGCAGCCAUGCCGCGGGUAUGAAGAAGGCCUUAGGGUUGUAAAGUACUUUCAGCGGGGAGGCGUUACCCGCAGAAGAAGCACAGGCUAACUCCGUGCCAGCAGCCGCGGUAAUAC